GACACAAAUGACUUUGGUAAGGGGUGAGCAACUCACAUAGUAUUAGUUUAACCAAACUGAAUUACCAUGUGAUAGUGAAAGCUAUGCCAUUGCUACUCAUGAUGUCCCUCAGUUUCAUACUGACUCAUGGCCUAGGACUCUGGUUUUCAGACCAAGUACUCUGACUAGAAAAUAUCCUCAUAUUUGAUGGAAGACAGCAUGAGACGGAGAACCAAGUUCCUUAAAGUACGGAAGUGAACUGUCUGUGGGUGACUUGCCUGGAUGCCGGCUAUAGCUGCAGCCCCCAAAGUCGAAGCUACCAGAACAGGUUGGAUGAGGAUGGCCCAAAGAUUAUGGAGUUGCUGGCCCCAAAGCAAGUCAGACACUAUGGGAAGUUUGCAUGAAUCAUGCCCUUGGAUAGACAACCUAAAUCAUACCUCAUCGAGCAUGGAUCCUGGUCAGCAUACCAAGUCAAGAACUUUAGGCAGUUUGUCUGGAUUGGUGAUUGCUGGAUAAAAGCUCAAGAAAAGAAAGUAGCCAUCAAGAUACUUCUCUUGGGAGGCCGAGGCGGGCAGAUCACUUGAGGUCAGGAGUUUGAGACCAGCCUGGCCAACAUGGUGAAACCCCAUCUCUGCCAAAAAAUACCAAAAACAUUAGCUAGCCAUGGUGGCGCAUGCCUGAAGUCCCAGCUGCUCAGGAGGCUGAGGCACAAGAAUCACUUGAACCCAGGAAGUAGAGGUUGCAGUGAGCAGAGAUUGUGCCACUGAACUCCAGCCUGUGUGACAGAAUGAGACUCCGUCUCCAAAACAACAACAACAAAAUACUUACCUUGCAUUCACAGAUUUUAUGAAGAAAAGUUUGGUAUUGUUAGAUUAGAUGUACAAGCUAUGUUCCCAUAUGGGAUUUUAGAAUCAGGAAAUCUGGAUUCUUUUCCCAGCUCUGCCACUUACCAGCUAUAUAAUUUGGGGCAAGAUACUCUCUCCGAUCCUCAGUUUCCUCAUCACUAAAAGGAGAGGAAAAAGAUUUCUUCUUUCAUUCUAAAAUUCCACCACUAGAAAUUUUAGGAAUUAAUCAUGAAUAUACACAAGAGUUAUCAUAAUAUUAUUUAUAUCAGCAAAACAUUCAAGGGAACACCCAAAUAUUAGCAGUAGAGGAUGGCAAAUAAAGCAUGAUAUGUUUACCAAAUGGAAGGCGCUACCAUCAUUAAAAUAAAGAAAAAUAAAUCAGAGACAAUGAUGUUCCAGCUGCAUUAUGAGAAACAAAAAAAUUCAAAGUCCCAAAGCAUAGUAUAUCAUUUUGUCAAAAAAGGAAAAAAAAAUGUAUAGAAAAAAGACAAAAAAUACAUACACCAAAUUAAUGAGAGUGAUUAUGUUUGGGUGGAGGAAUUAUGACUGAUUUUUCUUUGUCUAUGUUUUCUAAAAUUUCUAUAAAACACCUGUACAAAUAAAAUUAUAAUAAUAAGAAAGAAAAGUUAAUAUUAAAUAACUAUUCCACAAGGUUACUGUGAAGAUAAAAUGAAAUAAAGCAAGGCAAUGUUGACCUAAUAUUAGUUUUUAAUAUUGCAAACAUCUCUCUGUGACUGUUAGGAGACCCAGUUUCCUAUGGCAAGUACUAAUUGCAUUAUCCUUUCUAGAGAACCCUAUGUGAAGUCUGAAGUGAAAGUGUGAUAGCAUAGCUGGCUACUUUCAGGAGUGCCCUAUGGUGAUGG
rnacentral:lncRNA from 1 species